AGUUUGAUCAUGGCUCAGGACGAACGCUGGCGGCGUGCCUAAUACAUGCAAGUCGAGCGAACCUUUAAAAGCUUGCUUUUAAAGGUUAGCGGCGGACGGGUGAGUAACACGUGGGCAACCUACCUGUAAGACUGGGAUAACUUCGGGAAACCGGAGCUAAUACCGGAUAAUUCUUUUCUACACAUGUAGAAAAGCUGAAAGACGGUUUCGGCUGUCACUUACAGAUGGGCCCGCGGCGCAUUAGCUAGUUGGUGAGGUAAUGGCUCACCAAGGCAACGAUGCGUAGCCGACCUGAGAGGGUGAUCGGCCACACUGGGACUGAGACACGGCCCAGACUCCUACGGGAGGCAGCAGUAGGGAAUCUUCCGCAAUGGACGAAAGUCUGACGGAGCAACGCCGCGUGAGUGAUGAAGGUUUUCGGAUCGUAAAACUCUGUUGUUAGGGAAGAACAAGUACGAGAGUAACUGCUCGUACCUUGACGGUACCUAACCAGAAAGCCACGGCUAACUACGUGCCAGCAGCCGCGGUAAUACGUAGGUGGCAAGCGUUGUCCGGAAUUAUUGGGCGUAAAGCGCGCGCAGGUGGUUUCUUAAGUCUGAUGUGAAAGCCCACGGCUCAACCGUGGAGGGUCAUUGGAAACUGGGGAACUUGAGUGCAGGAGAGAAGAGUGGAAUUCCACGUGUAGCGGUGAAAUGCGUAGAGAUGU
rnacentral:rRNA from 1 species